rnacentral:lncRNA from 1 species
UUGUAAUAAUUUUCUAGAUAUACAUAAGGCAGGUCGGACUAAGCCUCCUUUAGAUAAUUGUAUUGGUUCAAACUCAUAAUUUUUAUAAAAUUUUAGAUUUAAUCAUCCAAAUAAAUCCUAAACAGAUAUAAUUUCUAUAAAGAUAGAUAAGUUUAGUAUUGCUUGGGAGGUUUGUAAUAAACUGCAUUUUGUGGGUGGUUGUAUCUUUUUGUAAGAGCCUGGCUUCUUUUGUAAU